rnacentral:rRNA from 1 species
UACCAAGGAUUCCCCUAGUAACUGCGAGUGAAGCGGGAAAAGCUCAAAUUUGAAAUCUGGCAGUCUUUUUUUUCUUCUUUGGCUGUCCGAGUUGUAAUCUAGAGAAGUGCUUACCUGCGCUGGACCAUGUAUAAGUCUCCUGGAAUGGAGCGUCACAGAGGGUGAGAAUCCCGUCUUUGACAUGGACUGCCAGUGUGUUGUGGUGUGCUCUCAAAGAGUCGAGUUGUUUGGGAAUGCAGCUCUAAAUGGGUGGUAAACUCCAUCUAAAGCUAAACAUUGGCGAGAGACCGAUAGCGAACAAGUACCGUGAGGGAAAGAUGAAAAGGACUUUGGAAAGAGAGUUAAACAGUAUGUGAAAUUGUUGAAAGGGAAACGCUUGAAGUCAGUUGUGUCGGCUAGGGAUCAACCUAGCUGUUUUUUGCUGGGUGAAUUUCCUAGUCUGACAGGCCAACAUCAGUCUUGACUGCCAGAAAAGAGCAGUGGGAAUGUGGCACCUUCGGGUGUGUUAUAGCCCUUUGUCAUAUGUGGCAGUCGGGACUGAGGGAUGCAGCAUGCCGUGAGGCUGGGUCUUUGACCACGUUCAUGCUUAGGAUGUUGGCUCUUAAUGGCUUCAAUCGACCCGUCUUGAAACACGGACCAAGGAGUCUAACAUGCCUGCGAGUGUUUGGGUGGGGAAAACCCUUGUGCACAAUGAAAGUGAAAGUUGAGAUCCCUGUCAUGGGGAGCAUCGACGCCCGGACCUGAGCUUUUAGCGACGGAUCUGCGGUAGAGCAUGCAUGUUGGGACCCGAAAGAUGGUGAACUAUGCCUGAAUAGGGCAAAGCCAGAGGAAACUCUGGUGGAGGCUCGUAGCGAUUCUGACGUGCAAAUCGAUCGUCAAAUUUGGGUAUAGGGGCGAAAGACUAAUCG